UACGUAGGGGGCUAGCGUUGUCCGGAAUCAUUGGGCGUAAAGCGCGUGUAGGCGGCCCGGUAAGUCCGCUGUGAAAGUCGGGGGCUCAACCCUCGAAUGCCGGUGGAUACUGUUGGGCUAGAGUACGGAAGAGGCGAGUGGAAUUCCUGGUGUAGCGGUGAAAUGCGCAGAUAUCAGGAGGAACACCGGUGGCGAAGGCGGGUCUCUGGGCAGUAACUGACGCUGAGGAGCGAAAGCGUGGGGAGCGAACAGG
rnacentral:rRNA from 1 species